AGAGUUUGAUCCUGGCUCAGGACGAACGCUGGCGGCGUGCCUAAUACAUGCAAGUAGAACGCUGAAGAAAGGAGCUUGCUUCUUUUGGAUGAGUUGCGAACGGGUGAGUAACGCGUAGGUAACCUGCCUUGUAGCGGGGGAUAACUAUUGGAAACGAUAGCUAAUACCGCAUAACAGCUUUUGACACAUGUUAGAAGCUUGAAAGAUGCAAUUGCAUCACUACGAGAUGGACCUGCGUUGUAUUAGCUAGUAGGUAGGGUAACGGCCUACCUAGGCGACGAUACAUAGCCGACCUGAGAGGGUGAUCGGCCACACUGGGACUGAGACACGGCCCAGACUCCUACGGGAGGCAGCAGUAGGGAAUCUUCGGCAAUGGGGGCAACCCUGACCGAGCAACGCCGCGUGAGUGAAGAAGGUUUUCGGAUCGUAAAGCUCUGUUGUAAGAGAAGAACGUGUGUGAGAGUGGAAAGUUCACACAGUGACGGUAACUUACCAGAAAGGGACGGCUAACUACGUGCCAGCAGCCGCGGUAAUACGUAGGUCCCGAGCGUUGUCCGGAUUUAUUGGGCGUAAAGCGAGCGCAGGCGGUUUAAUAAGUCUGAAGUUAAAGGCAGUGGCUUAACCAUUGUUCGCUUUGGAAACUGUUAAACUUGAGUGCAGAAGGGGAGAGUGGAAUUCCAUGUGUAGCGGUGAAAUGCGUAGAUAUAUGGAGGAACACCGGUGGCGAAAGCGGCUCUCUGGUCUGUAACUGACGCUGAGGCUCGAAAGCGUGGGGAGCAAACAGGAUUAGAUACCCUGGUAGUCCACGCCGUAACGAUGAGUGCUAGUGUUAGGCCCUUUCCGGGGCUUAGUGCCGCAGCUAACGCAUUAGCACUCCGCCUGGGGAGUACGACCGCAAGGUGAAACUCAAAGGAAUUGACGG
rnacentral:rRNA from 1 species